AUGGAAAAUUAUCUGAUUAAGUGAAUGGAUGAAACGGUAGCCUUACUGGAUAUCCUAGGAGAUGAUGAAUGGACCGAGUACAAUAGGGAACCCUACGUGAACAUUGUCUCAUACUGGAUGGGGUAUCGAGAAUUAGUAAUUUGGCGCUCAUACCGGAUGAGGUAUGGAGACUGCUUGCUUCACCCUCAUACCGGAUGAGGUAUUGAGGUUUAGUAAUUUGGCACUCAUACUAGACGAGGUAUGAGGACGACCCGUUAAUUGAGAGUGUUAAAGAAAAUGGUUCACGCGUAGCAGGGACAUUCCUAUGAACCCUCAUGGGUACCAACAGGUUGAUGGAAAGGAACAGUUAUUGUUUGAUUUAU
rnacentral:lncRNA from 1 species